AGUGAACGCUGGCGGUAGGCCUAACACAUGCAAGUCGAACGGCAGCACAGUAAGAGCUUGCUCUUACGGGUGGCGAGUGGCGGACGGGUGAGGAAUACAUCGGAAUCUACUUUUUCGUGGGGGAUAACGUAGGGAAACUUACGCUAAUACCGCAUACGACCUACGGGUGAAAGCAGGGGAUCUUCGGACCUUGCGCGAUUGAAUGAGCCGAUGCCGGAUUAGCUAGUUGGCGGGGUAAAGGCCCACCAAGGCAACGAUCCGUAGCUGAUCUGAGAGGAUGAUCGGCCACACUGGAACUGAGACACGGUCCAGACUCCUACGGGAGGCAGCAGUGGGGAAUAUUGGACAAUGGGCGCAAGCCUGAUCCAGCCAUGCCGCGUGAGUGAAGAAGGCCUUCGGGUUGUAAAGCCCUUUUGUUGGGAAAGAAAAGCAGCAGGUUAAUACCCCGCUGUUCUGACGGUACCCAAAGAAUAAGCACCGGCUAACUUCGUG
rnacentral:rRNA from 1 species